rnacentral:rRNA from 1 species
CCAGACUCCUACGGGAGGCAGCAGUAGGGAAUCUUCGGCAAUGGACGAAAGUCUGACCGAGCAACGCCGCGUGAGUGAAGAAGGUUUUCGGAUCGUAAAACUCUGUUGGUAGAGAAGAACGUUGGUGAGAGUGGAAAGCUCAUCAAGUGACGGUAACUACCCAGAAAGGGACGGCUAACUACGUGCCAGCAGCCGCGGUAAUACGUAGGUCCCGAGCGUUGUCCGGAUUUAUUGGGCGUAAAGCGAGCGCAGGUGGUUUAUUAAGUCUGGUGUAAAAGGCAGUGGCUCAACCAUUGUAUGCAUUGGAAACUGGUAGACUUGGGUGCAGGAGAGGAGAGUGGAAUUCCAUGUGUAGCGGUGAAAUGCGUAGAUAUAUGGAGGAACACCGGUGGCGAAAGCGGCUCUCUGGCCUGUAACUGACACUGAGGCUCGAAAGCGUGGGGAGCAAACAGGAUUAGAUACCCUGGUAGUCCACGCCGUAGACGAUGAGUGCUAGAUGUAGGGAGCUAUAAGUUCUCUGUAUCGCAGCUAACGCAAUAAGCACUCCGCCUGGGGAGUAC